rnacentral:rRNA from 1 species
AAGAUGUGUGCAUUUCGCUCAAGUCCAUCUUGAACGAGGCCACGGUCCCGAGAGGGUGCCAGGCCCGUUGUUGGCAAAUGCCUGUCUUGGGUAAGCCUCUCCUUAGAGUCGGGUUGCUUGAGAGUGCAGCCCUAAGUAGGUGGUAAACUCCAUCUAAGGCUAAAUACAACUACGAGUCCGAUAGCGAACAAGUACCGUGAGGGAAAGUUGAAAAGAACUUUGAAGAGAGAGUUCAAGAGUACGUGAAACCGCUCAGGGGUAAACGGAGAAGAACUGAAUUUUCGAAAGGGGAGAUUCACGUCUUACCAUAUUGUUUAGCUUUUAAAUGUUCAAGAGAUGUUUAUUCGCCCUAUUCAGUGCAAACUGUAAUAGAGGGUUUAUUCGCUCGCAUUUAAUAUAGUAAAAACAAUGGUGGACCGCACUUCUCCCUUAGUAGGACGUUGCGAUCUGUCAGUUAAUACUCUAAGUAUGGUUAAAGUGUCUGUAUAAAGAAAAUUAAGUUUCGGCUUUUUUUUUCUUUUUACAGCUUUAAUCAUUUUAUACUGAGUAUUUUAAACUUAUGACAGUAUCAAUUGAUGGUGUUGAGCCACUUUAAUUUUUUUUCUAAAGUGUCUUUAGCCGUUUACAAGUAGGUUUAGUAGUUAAUUUCGGGCUUUUCGGUCCGUAUAACUAGGCCACUUACUGUUAGUAAACUGUGCCUUAGACUGUGCUUAUAACACUGAUCAGCAGCGAUCCAGGUUCAGUCUCUUAUCCGACCCGUCUUGAAACACGGACCAAGGAGUUUAUUGUGUACGCAAGUCAUUGGGUAAUUAAAACCCAAAGGCAUAAUAAAAGUAAAGAGUAAUUUAAUUAUAAAAAGUGUUAGUACUUUUUUUUUUAUUAAAUUCUUAAAGGAAGAUAGAUUUAAUUUCUAUUAAUAGAAGAGUUAUAUUUUUUUAUUUCUCUUUUUUUUAGAAAUAUCUUUCAUUCCUAGGGCGCUUGUUUCUCGCAUUGCGAGUAUAUGCGCACCUAGAGCGUACACGAUGAUACCCGAAAGAUGGUGAACUAUGCCUGGCCAGGACGAAGCCAGGGGAAACCCUGGUGGAGGUCCGCAGCGAUUCUGACGUGCAAAUCGAUCGUCAGAGCUGGGUAUAGGGGCGAAAGACCAAUCGAACCAUCUAGUAGCUGGUUCCCUCUGAAGUUUCCCUCAGGAUAGCUUGCGCUCAAUGAAACGAGUCUCAUCCGGUAGAGCGAAUGAUUAGAGGCAUUGGGGUCGAAACGACCUCAACCUAUUCUCAAACUCCAAAUAGAUGAGAACCUCGGCUUUCUUAAAAUUGAAGCCGUAGGAUUUGGAUCAGAGUGCAAAGUGGGCCAUUUUUGGUAAGCAGAACUGGCGCUGUGGGAUGAACCAAACGCAGAGUUAAGGCGCCUAAAUUGACGCUCAUGUGAAACCAUGAAAGGCGUUGGUUGCUUAAGACAGCAGGACGGUGGCCAUGGAAGUUGGAAUCCGCUAAGGAGUGUGUAACAACUCACCUGCCGAAGCAACUAGCCCUGAAAAUGGAUGGCGCUGUAGCGUCGUGCCUAUACUCUGCCGUCAAUGGCAAAGUAUGAUAGUAAAUAUUAAUUUUUAAUAGUAAGCUUUUUUAAAGUUUAUUAUUUUUCAAUUAAUAUUGAGUAGAAAUUGAAAAAAAAUUUUUUUUUUUUUUCUAUUUUCUUACUUCAAUUCUAUCAAUUAUGUUUUGACGAGUAAGAGGGUCGCGGCGACGAGCGCAGAAGGGUCUGGGCGAGAGCCCGCCUGGAGCCGUCGCUGGUGCAGAUCUUGGUGGUAGUAGCAAAUACUCCAGCGAGGCCCUGGAGGACUGAUGUGGAGAAGGGUUUCUUGUGAACAGCUGUUGCACAAGAGUCAGUCGAUCCUAAGCCCUAGGAGAAAUCCGAAGCGAUCGGCUGCCGUUAUUUUAAAAUAAAAAAUAAAAUGCUGGCGCCGUCAGGGCGAAAGGGAAUCCGGUUCCUAUUCCGGAACCCGGCAGCGGAACCGUUUCAAAUCGGGCUCUCAUUUGAGAACUCGUCGGGGUAACCCGAAAAGACCCGGAGACGCCGUAGGGAAAUUCGGAGAGAGUUGUCUCUUCUCUAUAAGCGUUCGAGUUCCCUGGAAUCCUCUAGCAGGGAGAUAGGGUUUGGAACGCGAAGAGCACCGCAGUUACGGCGGUGUCCGGAUCUUCCCUACGGACCUUGAAAAUCCGGGAGAGGGCCACGAGGAACCCCGCGCCGGUUCGUACCCAUAUCCGCAGCAGGUCUCCAAGGUCAAUAGCCUCUAGUCGAUAGAAUAAUGUAGGUAAGGGAAGUCGGCAAAUCCGAUCCGUAACUUCGGGAUAAGGAUUGGCUCUGAGGACUGAGUCGUGCCGGGCUUGGUCGGGAAGUGGAGCGGUGUCAACGUGCCGGGCCUGGGCGAGGAGAAAAGUAUGUUCUCUAACGGAUGUACUUGGAUCCGAGCUCGGUCCCGUGCCUUGGCCACCCACGGAUC